GAUGAAGAACGCAGCGAAAUGCGAUACUUGGUGUGAAUUGCAGAAUCCCGCGAAUCAUCGAGUUUUUGAACGCAAGUUGCGCCCGAAGCCAUUCGGCCGAGGGCACGUCUGCCUGGGUGUCACGCAUCGUUGCCCCCCCAAACUCCGGUUCGGGCGGGGCGGAAGUUGGCCUCCCGUGCGUGCCUGCGCGCGCGGUUAGCCCAAAAGCGAGUCCUCGGCGACGAGCGCCACGACAAUCGGUGGUUUUUUUACCCUCGUUCCUCGUCGUGCGUGUCCCGUCGCCCGAACGCGCUCUUGCGACCCUCACGCGUCGCCUCGGCGGCGCUCCCAACGCGACCCCAGGUCAGGCGGGACUACCCGCUGAGUUUAAGCAUAUCAUAAGCGGAGGA
rnacentral:misc_RNA from 1 species